AAAAAUAAGGGGUAACACUGUUGUUUUUCUUUGGUCGUCAUGAAAAAAAAACACAAGGGGUAACACUGUCGUUUUUAUCAAAUGAAACAUGAGGGGUAACACUGUCGUUUUUAUCAAAUGAAACGAGGGGUGACACUGUCGUUUUUCUUUGGUCGUCAUGAAAAAAACCAUAAGGGGUAACACUGUUGUUUUUUAUUGGUCAUCAUGAAAAAAAACAUAAGGGGUAACACUGUUGAUAUUUAUCAUAAUAAAACAUAGGGGGUAACGCUGGCAUUUUUCUUUUGUCGUCAUGAAAAAAAACACAAGGGGUAACACUGUCGUUUUUAUCAAAUGAAACAUGAGGGGUAACACUGUCGUUUUUAUCAAAUGAAACAUGAGGGGUAACACUGGCAUUUUUCUUUGGGCGUCAUGAAAAAAACCCGAAGGGGUAACACUGUUGUUCUUUAUUGGUCGUCAUGAAAAAAAGCAUAAGGGGUAACACUGUUGUUUUUUAUUGGUCGGCAUGAAAAAAAACAUCAGGGGUAACACUGUUGUUUUUUAUUGGUCGUCAUGAAAAAAAACAUCAGGGGUAACACUGUUGUUUUUUAUUGAUCGUCAUGAAAAAAAACAUAAGGGGUAACACUGUUGUUCUUUAUUGGUCAUCAUGAAAAAAGCAUAAGGGGUAACACUGUUGUUUUUUAUUGGUCGGCAUGAAAAAAAACAUCAGGGGUAACACUGUUGUUUUUUAUUGGUCGUCAUGAAAAAAAACAUAAGGGUUAACACUGUUGUUUUUUAUUGGUCGGCAUGAAAAAAAACAUCAGGGGUAACACUGUUGUUUUUUAUUGGUCGUCAUGAAAAAAAACGUAAGGGGUAACACUGUUAGCUUUGUCAAAUAAAAUAGGGAUAACACUGUCGUUUUUUAUCAGUCUAAUGAAAAAAUCAUAAGGGAUAACACUGUCGUUUUUUAUUGGUCGUCAUGAAAAAAAACAUAAGUGGAAUAAUAGAAAUACACACAUACAUUUUAAUGUCAUGUAUAUCCUCUUUAUUGAUGAUAGAUUAUUGUGUAUUGUCAUCGCCUCAGUGGUGCAAUGGAGUGCACUCUGCCUAACCCACUGGAGACCGAGGCUCAAUUUCUGUGGAAAACACAAUAUAUUUAAUUUUAAACGUAAUGCUAACAUGUCUAUUGCACAUCAUAUAUAACAUGUCAUAUAUAACCACAGACAUUUAAAAAAAAAAUCUCAGUGGGAAGUGGAGAGAGCUAUGAGGCAACCCCCUGGAGACCGGGGUUCAAGUCCGGUUGAUGUCAUCUGUUGGAAGACUCAUAUCUCUAUUUCAUGCGAAUUACAAAGUCAAUUAUAACCAUUGUGUUGACUUUAUUCUGUGUCUUGAUGGUGAAUUGAUAAGUUCGGAGGUUAACACUCAGGACACUCAACAGCUCAGGUUCGGAUCCCCACAAAAACGUCGACAGGGGUACCACUGUUGUUAUUUAUUGGUCAACAUGGAAAAACCAUGAGGGGUAACUCGGUCCUUUUUUAUCGGCCGUCAUGAAAUAAACAUAAGGGAUAAGGGGUAACGCUGUCGAUAUUUAUCAAAUAAAACAUAGGGGGUAACACUGUUGUUUUUCUUUGGUCGUCAUGAAAAAAAACACAACGGUUAACACAGUCGCUUUUAUCAAAUGAAACAUGAGGGGUAACACUGUCGUUUUUAUCAAACGAAACAUGAGGGGUGACACUGUCGUUUUUUAUUGGUCAUCAUGAAAAAAAACAUAAGAGGUAACACUGUUGUUUUUUUAUUGGUCGUCAUGAAUAAAAACAUAAGGGGUAACACUGUUGUUUUUUAUUGGUUCGUCAUGAAAAAAAACAUAAGGGGUAACACUGUUGUUUUCUAUUGGUCGUCAUGAAAAAAAACAUAAGGGGUAACACUGUUGUUUUUUAUUGGUCGUCAUGAAAAAAAACAUAAAGGGUAACACUGUUGUCUUUGUCAAAUAAAAUAUAAGGGGUAACACUGUCGUUUUUUAUUGGUGGUCAUGAAAAUAAACAUAAGGGAAAUAAUAGAAAUACACACAUACAUUUUAAUGUCAUGUACAUCCUCUUUAUUGAUCAUUGAUUAUUGUGUAUUGUCAUGAAAUAAACAUAAGGGGUAACGCUGUCGAUAUUUAUCAAAUAAAACAUGGGGGGUGACACUGUUGUUUUUUAUUGGUCAUCAUGAAAAAAAACAUAAGAGGUAACACUGUUGUUUUUUUAUUGGUCGUCAUGAAUAAAAACAUAAGGGGUAACACUGUUGUUUUUUAUUGGUCGUCAUGAAAAAAAACAUAGGGGGUAACUCUGUUGUCUUUGUCAAAUAAAAUAUAAGGGGUAACAUUGUCGUAUUUUAUUGGUCGUCAAAAAAAGACAUAUUUGAAAAAAAAAAAAGAUUUGUCCUUGUCA
ensembl:lncRNA